rnacentral:rRNA from 1 species
AGUGAACGCUGGCGGUAGGCCUAACACAUGCAAGUCGAACGGCAGCACAGUAAGAGCUUGCUCUUACGGGUGGCGAGUGGCGGACGGGUGAGGAAUACAUCGGAAUCUACUUUUUCGUGGGGGAUAACGUAGGGAAACUUACGCUAAUACCGCAUACGACCUACGGGUGAAAGCAGGGAUCCUUCGAACUUUCCCCGAUGGAUUAGCCGGUGUCGGGUUAGCUAGUUGGCGGGGUAAAGGCCCACCAAGGCGACGAUCCGUAGCUGGUCUGAGAGGAUGAUCAGCCACACUGGAACUGAGACACGGUCCAGACUCCUACGGGAGGCAGCAGUGGGGAAUAUUGGACAAUGGGCGCAAGCCUGAUCCAGCCAUACCGCGUGGGUGAAGAAGGCCUUCGGGUUGUAAAGCCCUUUUGUUGGGAAAGAAAAGCAGCAGGUUAAUACCCCGCUGUUCUGACGGUACCCAAAGAAUAAGCACCGGCUAACUUCGUG